AAUGAACAACAUUGUCAGUUUAUUAUCGGUAAACAGGCAACCAUUUCCGCAACUAUCGACUAUUGCAAAAACGACGCAAUUCGCAG